rnacentral:rRNA from 1 species
GAUGAACGCUGGCGGCGUGCCUAACACAUGCAAGUCGAGCGAACGGACGAGACGCUUGCUUCUCUGACGUUAGCGGCGGACGGGUGAGUAACACGUGGAUACCCUACCUAUAAGACUGGGAUAAUUUCGGGAAACCGUAGCUAACACCGGAUAAUAUUUUGAACCGUAUGGUUCAAAGGUGAAAGACGGUCUUGCUGUCACUUAUAGAUGGAUACGCGCUGCAUUAGCUAGUUGGUAAGGUAACGGCUUACCAAGGCGACGAUGCAUAGCCGACCGGAGAGGGUGGUCGGCCGCACUGGAACGGAGACACGGUCCAGACUCCUACGGGAGGCAGCAGUAGGGUAUCUUCCGCAGUGGGCGGAAGCCUGACGGAACAACGCGGCGUGAGUGAUGGCAGUCUUCGGAUCGUAAAGCUCUGUUAUUGGGGAAGAACAGAUGUGUCAGUAACCGUGCAGAGCUUGACGGUAACUAAUCAAAAAGCCACGGCUAACUACGUG